rnacentral:rRNA from 1 species
AUGCUUAAGGUUGUUUUGAAGAAUAAUAAGAAAAUGUGGGAAGAAUGCUUGCCUCAUAUUGAAUUUGCCUAUAAUCGUUCACUGCAUUCUACUGCUAAGAUGUGCCAUUUUGAAAUUGUGUAUGGUUUCCUACCUCGUGUACCUAUUGAUUUAUUUCCUCUUCCAUCUCCGGAGAAGGUCAAUUUUGAUGUUAAACAACGUGCUGAUUUGAUCUUUAAAAUGCAUGAGUUGCCUAAGGAAAACAUUGCGCGUAUGAAUGCUAAAUAUAAACUUGCUGGAGAUAAAGGUAGAAAACAUGUUGUCUUUGCACCUGGAGAUCUUGUUUGGUUACAUUUGCUUAAGGAUAGGUUUCCU